UGGGGAAUAUUGGACAAUGGGGGCAACCCUGAUCCAGCCAUGCCGCGUGUGUGAGGAAGGCCUUUUGGUUGUAAAGCACUUUAAGCAGUGAAGAAGACUCCAUGGUUAAUACCCAUGGACGAUGACAUUAGCUGCAGAAUAAGCACCGGCUAACUCUGUGCCAGCAGCCGCGGUAAUACAGAGGGUGCAAGCGUUAAUCGGAAUUACUGGGCGUAAAGCGAGCGUAGGUGGCUUGAUAAGUCAGAUGUGAAAGCCCCGGGCUUAACCUGGGAACGGCAUCUGAUACUGUUAGGCUAGAGUAGGUGAGAGGAAGGUAGAAUUCCAGGUGUAGCGGUGAAAUGCGUAGAGAUCUGGAGGAAUACCGAUGGCGAAGGCAGCCUUCUGGCAUCAUACUGACACUGAGGUUCGAAAGCGUGGGUAGCAAACA
rnacentral:rRNA from 1 species